CUACCCGAACGUCGAGUU
rnacentral:misc_RNA from 1 species